rnacentral:rRNA from 1 species
UACGUAGGGGGCGAGCGUUGUCCGGAAUCAUUGGGCGUAAAGCGCGUGUAGGCGGCCCGGUAAGUCCGCUGUGAAAGUCCAGGGCUCAACCCUGGGAUGCCGGUGGAUACUGUCGGGCUCGAGUCCGGAAAAGGCGAGUGGAAUUCCUGGUGUAGCGGUGAAAUGCGCAGAUAUCAGGAGGAACACCAAUGGCGAAGGCAGCUCGCUGGGACGUGACUGACGCUGAGACGCGAAAGCGUGGGGAGCAAACAGG